UACGUAGGGAGCGAGCGUUGUCCGGAUUCAUUGGGCGUAAAGCGCGCGUAGGCGGCCUCUUAAGUCGGUUGUGAAAUCCCGGGGCUCAACUCCGGGACUGCGUCCGAUGCUGCGAGGCUGGAGGUAGGUAGGGGAGAUCGGAAUUCCUGGUGUAGAGGUGAAAUGCGCAGAUAUCAGGAGGAACACCGGUGGCGAAGGCGGAUCACUGGGCCUUACCUGACGCUGAGGCGCGAAAGCUAGGGGAGCGAACAGG
rnacentral:rRNA from 1 species